AGAUGACUUGUUAAGGAAAAUCUUUCACAAAAUAAGAUGUUUGGGAAAAGAUGAACCCAACUAUCGAUGUGUAUUUUCAAAGUUGUUCCAUGAUGGUCUAUUUUUCAAUGAUCAGAUAAUUGAUGGGGAUUCAAAAUUCCCACAAUAAUAACUUUUAGCAUGCCACAUGUCAUAUAUUACACUUACAGAUUUAUGUUUUGUUCUAUUUUGCAAUGAUCAGAUGAUUGAUGAUGGAUGUCAUGGACACCAGUGCUGUUCUUAAUUUUCUUUGACUUUUCCUUUAUUUAUCUUGGUUUUCAUUUUGCAUCUCAUCUGACUUCCUAAAUUUCCAUAUGGUGUGGGUAUCUUUUGGAUUUCUUUGUUGUGAAUUUUAUACGUUCGCCCUAUUCCUGCUUUGUUUCUCAGCUGCAAUUUAUGGAAGUUGGUGUCUGAAAUUUCUCUCGCUUCAGUUUCAUCAUGGCUGAUAACAAAAUCAUGAGAUCCCAGGGCUAGCUACAUCCCUGACGACAUCAUAUUCAACAACAUCCUCCCACGUCUUCACUGCAAAUCUCUCCGCCAGUUGAAAUCUGCAUGCAAGAAGUGGUACAGUGUGAUCGAGCAAGUCCUGUGCCGUAGAUCCCUCGCAUCAGGGCAUAUCUUUGUCAGUUGUUCACGUCUAGUAUUCUUGAGCGUGCUCCACGAUGCGAUUCAAAUCCGUGAUCCAACGGUCUCCUUUGCCUUCGCCUUGAGAAGUGUCUGUAUGUAUGCGAUCCAAAACGAGACAAGACCGCAGAAUUCCCCAUAGCAGGAAUAAAGGGUCGGUUGGUUUGAUAUUUGAGCCAUCAACCUCUCCUGACCAGUAUAAGCUAGUCUGUGCUAUCAACAAAGCGCGGGGGAGAAGACGGCAUCAACAAAGGACAUUUCGGUUCGAAGUGUUCUCCUCCUGCAAUAAGAAACAGGUAAGAUCGGACAAGGAAGUGAGCAUCCCUUGCACCGGUUUGCAUCAGCCUCCCAAAUCCUCAUCCGCAAAAGGAAUUGUGUUUUGGAAUUGGACAUGCGAACUAUGGCUGGAGACUCCCCAAGAGAAAAGAGAUGAUCUUUUCAAGGAAGAGGUGUUCUCAGGGAUCGAUAAAAAAUGGUGGGACGACCUCUGCAAGUUUUUUUCUUCUAAUAGGAAGCAUGCGGAGGCAAAAAGAAAUAAAGAUAAUCUGGAGUGAAAGAAGCGAGGUCAAGCAACCUAUACGGGUGGCUCGAGGAGCAUGGUUCGGGCAAAACAGAGAGUGGUUGAUCAUCAUACCGCUCAUCCACCUUCUGUUAUUCCAGCUACUCAAUCGGCUUUUGCUCAGCCUUCUCUGGAUGCUCAGGGUUCUACUUUUGCUGCUCAGCAUUCUCCUCAGGAUAUUUCAGCACAAAAUUUUCUUGCAAGUCGACCGGGGGGCUGGUUAAGGGGCUUAACAUAGGAGGGCUAUGGCGAAGAGGACAUCCGCAAGGCUUUUAUCAAUUUUCUUCGAUUGAGGCAGCAGUGACUUGCACUUUUUAGAUAUUUGAGAUAUUGUAUUUUGGAUACUCCUUAUGUUUGUGAUUUAGUUGUUUAUAAAUUACAACUCGCAUUUCAUUUUAGCAAAUUUUUGUUUUGGCUUAUAA